rnacentral:lncRNA from 1 species
AACGACAGAUGUGAUUUAUUUACCUGGGACAGCCACCGGGUGAUGCGUAAGCAGGUUUUCAAUCAGUGGAUUUGCCAGAGGAGCAAAGUAAAUUUAUUACUGAUGAAUUUAUUUAAUAUGGAAAGAGGCCAAGAUUAUUCACAAGGAGGAAAGAAGUAAAGUGGAGUCAGAGAACAUUGGCAGUUUGCAGAAUCUCUGGGAAGUCUGCAGAAACUGGCUCAGAAAACAGGCAGAAACGAAUGGAAGAUGAGCAGACAGAAUCACAGGCAAAGCAC